UACGGGGGAGCAAGCGUUGUUCGGAUUUACUGGGCGUAAAGGGCGCGUAGGCGGCCAGCACAAGUCAGUUGUGAAAUCUCCGAGCUUAACUCGGAAAGGUCAACUGAUACUGUGCGGCUAGAGUGCAGAAGGGGCAACUGGAAUUCUUGGUGUAGCGGUGAAAUGCGUAGAUAUCAAGAGGAACACCUGCGGCGAAGGCGGGUUGCUGGGCUGACACUGACGCUGAGGCGCGAAAGCUAGGGGAGCGAACGGG
rnacentral:rRNA from 1 species